UUUGACGCGUUUUCGGACAAGUCUGUGUAGUGGAAAGCGGCGGACGGGUGAGUAACGCGUAGGCAACCUGCCCUUAGCAGAGGGAUAGCCAUUGGAAACGAUGAUUAAAACCUCAUAAUGCCGGAGAGUCACAUGUCUUUUCGGCCAAAGAUUUAUCGGCUAAGGAUGGGCCUGCGUCUGAUUAACUAGUUGGCGGGGUAACGGCCCACCAAGGUGACGAUCAGUAGCCGACCUGAGAGGGUGAUCGGCCACAUUGGAACUGAGACACGGUCCAAACUUC
rnacentral:rRNA from 1 species